UAAAGCUGGAGUUCCUGCACUGCUGUAUCAGCUCACAGUGCAUUUGUAAAGCAGUAUCCUAAAAUAUUCCUGCACAAAAAAAUCAGAUUACCUAAAAUUUUCACACAGGAGCCAAAAAGAAAACCUAGUGAAGCUACAGAAGGAAGUCAAUACCGACUUGAAGAUUCUCACAACAUAGCUGUUCAUGUUAAAAAAGCACAUAGUGGCUAUGCUUUAUAUGGACAAAAAGGAUCCACAGAAACUUUUGAAGAAUUUCUUCAUAUUGUAAAGAAAUUUGGGAAUAUUUGAGAUCUACUCUUUUUGCAAAUUUCCAGUACAUCUAUGAUGAACAAUGGACUCCAUGCUGUAUCAUAGAUCACCAGACCAUAUUCAUCUUCCACCUGGAAGUUUGCUACCUUUGACCAACAUCUCUUUCCUUCCACCAACAAACCCUUGGC